GAUGAACGCUGGCGGCGUGCCUAAUACAUGCCAGUCGAGCGAACAGACGAUGAUCUUGCUCCUCUCACGUUAGCGGCGGACGGGUGAGUAACACGUGUAUACCCUACCUAUAUUACUGGGAUAACUUCGGGAAACCGGAGCUAAUACCGGAUGAUAUAUUGAACCGCAUGGUUCAAUAGUAAAAUACGGCUUUUCUGUCACUUAUAGAUGGAUCCGCGCCGCAUUAGAUAGUUGGUAAGGUAACGGCUUAGCAAGGCAACGAUGCGUAGACGACCUGAGAGGGUGAUAGGCGACACUAGAACUGAGACACGGACAAGACUACUACGGGAGGCAGCAGUCGGGAAUGUGCCGCAACGGGCGAAAGCAUGACGGAGCAACGCCGAGCGAGUGAUGAAGGUCCUGGGAUCGGAAAACUGUGUUAUUAGGGAAGAACAAAUGUGUAAGUAAAUAUGCACGUAGUGACGGUACUUAAUCAGAAAGCAACGGCUAACUACGUG
rnacentral:rRNA from 1 species